rnacentral:rRNA from 1 species
UACGAAGGACCCGAGCGUUAUCCAGAUUUAUUGGGUUUAAAGGGUGCGUAGGCGGAUUUACAAGUCAGUGGUGAAAUCUCCCAGCUUAACUGGGAAACUGCCAUUGAAACUGUUUAUCUUGAGUACAUUUGAGGCGGGCGGAAUGUGUCAUGUAGAGGUGAAAUUCUUAGAUAUGACACAGAACACCAAUUGCGAAGGCAGCUCGCUAAACUGUAACUGACGCUGAGGCACGAAAGCGUGGGGAUCAAACAGG